rnacentral:rRNA from 1 species
GACAGAGGGUGCAAACGUUGUUCGGAAUUACUGGGCGUAAAGCGCGUGUAGGCGGCCCUGCAAGUCGGAUGUGAAAUCCCACGGCUCAACCGUGGAAGUGCAUUCGAAACUGCAGGGCUAGAGUCCUGGAGAGGAAGGUGGAAUGCUUGGUGUAGAGGUGAAAUUCGUAGAUAUCAAGCGGAACACCGGUGGCGAAGGCGCCUUCUGGACAGUGACUGACGCUGAGACGCGAAAGCGUGGGGAGCAAACAGG